AAUGAUACUUUCGCCAAAUGGCGGCCCGCUGGGAUGCGGGAUGAUACCGGUGCAGGUUGGAAACUGAUACCUGCUGCUGGGUCAU
rnacentral:sRNA from 12 species